GUCCCUGUAGCGCAAUGGAUAGCGCAUUGAACUUCUGAUCCAAAGGUCAUGGUUUCGAACCCUACCUGGGAUG